CUUUGGUUAUCGCUUACAGAUGGGCCUGCGGCUCAUUAGCUAGUUGGUAGGGUAACGGCUUACCAAGGCAACGAUGGGUAGCCGGCCUGAGAGGGUGGUCGGCCACACUGGGACUGAGAUACGGCCGAGACUCCUACGGGAGGCAGCAGUAAGGAAUAUUGCGCAAUGGUCGCAAGACUGACGCAGCAACGCCGCGUGGAUGAUGAAGCUCUAUGGAGUGUAAAGUCCUGUUAGAAGGGAAGAACAGUACGGAGUCAAAGCUUCGUGCAUGACGGUACCUUCAGAGAAAGCCCCGGCUAACUCCGUGCCAGCAGCCGCGGUAAUACGGGGGGGGCAAGCGUUGUCCGGAAUUACUGGGCGUAAAGGGCGCGUAGGUGGAAUUGUAAGUUAGAGGUGAAAGCCAGCAGCUUAACUGCUGGUCUGCCUUUAAUACUGCAGUUCUUGAGUGCGAAAGAGGGAAGCGGAAUUCUUGGUGUAGCGGUGAAAUGCGUAGAUAUCAAGAAGAACACCGGUAGCGUAGGCGGCUUCCUGGUUCGUAACUGACACUGAGGCGCGAAAGUGUGGGGAGCAAACAGGAUUAGAUACCCUGGUAGUCCACACCGUAAACGAUGGAUACUAA
rnacentral:rRNA from 1 species